rnacentral:rRNA from 1 species
CCUACGGGAGGCAGCAGUGAGGAAUAUUGGUCAAUGGACGAGAGUCUGAACCAGCCAAGUAGCGUGAAGGAUGACUGCCCUAUGGGUUGUAAACUUCUUUUAUAAAGGAAUAAAACGAGGCACGUGUGCCUUUUUGCAUGUACUUUAUGAAUAAGGAUCGGCUAACUCCGUGCCAGCAGCCGCGGUAAGACGGAGGAUCCGAGCGUUAUCCGGAUUUAUUGGGUUUAAAGGGAGGGUAGAGGGGUUGUUAAGUUAGUUGUGAAAGUUUGAGGCUCAACCGUAACAGUGCAAUUGAUACUGGUAGUCUUGAGUGCAGUUGAGGUAAGCGGAAUGCGUGGUGUAGCGGUGAAAUGCUUAGAUAUCACGAAGAACUCCGAUUGCGAAGGCAGCUUACUA